rnacentral:lncRNA from 1 species
GCCGCGCGGCCCACCGCCACCUCGAAGGGGCUCUUGGCGAUGUGCUGCCCCGCAAACAGCACCGUCACCUUGUGCACGCCGGUCACUUUGGGCACGUAGGAGACGCUGAACGUCCGGUUCUUGUCGUUGUUCGGCACCACUUUCGCCUCCUCACGGUGCCCCUCGGGGUCCUCCACGUACACGGUCACGUCCCCCUGCCCCGCACUGAUGGUCUCCACUGUGAACUCGGCGCGCUGCUUCACCACGUUCCCUGUGGGCUCAAUGCC